AUUGAACGCUGGCGGCAUGCUUUACACAUGCAAGUCGAGCGGCAGCGCGGGGGCAACCCUGGCGACGAGCGGCGAACGGGUGAGUAAUGCAUCGGAACGUAUCCUCGAGUGGGGGAUAACCCAGCGAAAGUUGGGCUAAUACCGCAUGAGCUCUGAGGAGGAAAGCGGGGGACCUGCGAGGGCCUCGCGCUGGAGGAGCGGCCGAUGUCCGAUUAGCUAGUUGGUGGGGUAAAGGCUUACCAAGGCGACGAUCGGUAGCUGGUCUGAGAGGAUGAUCAGCCACACUGGGACUGAGACACGGCCCAGACUCCUACGGGAGGCAGCAGUGGGGAAUUUUGGACAAUGGGGGCAACCCUGAUCCAGCCAUGCCGCGUGAGUGAAGAAGGCCUUCGGGUUGUAAAGCUCUUUCGGACGGAACGAAAUGGGCGGGACUAAUACUCCUGUCUGAUGACGGUACCGUAAGAAGAAGCACCGGCUAACUACGUG
rnacentral:rRNA from 1 species